rnacentral:rRNA from 1 species
CAGCAGCCGCGGUAAUACGAAGGGUGCAAGCGUUAAUCGGAAUUACUGGGCGUAAAGCGUGCGUAGGCGGUGAGUUAAGUCUGCUGUGAAAUCCCCGGGCUCAACCUGGGAAUGGCAGUGGAUACUGGCUCGCUAGAGUGUGUCAGAGGAUGGUGGAAUUCCCGGUGUAGCGGUGAAAUGCGUAGAGAUCGGGAGGAACAUCAGUGGCGAAGGCGGCCAUCUGGGACAACACUGACGCUGAGGCACGAAAGCGUGGGGAGCAAACAGGAUUAGAUACCCGGGUAGUCCCUGUCCUUAUACA